CCAGAAGGUCCCAAACCCAAUUCCAUGGGGCCUGACAUCCCAGAAGGUCCCAAACCCAAUUCCAUGGGGCCUGACAUCCCAGAAGGUCCCACAUCCAACCCCUGUGAGAUCUCUGACGGGUCUCAGAGCCAAGCCAGGGGUGUCCUGCCCCCUCCUCACUCACCGUCUGCUUGAAGCCGACGGCCGUGUGCUGC